CUGUUUCCGCCAUUUCAAGGGAUGGCGCUCCCAUCUCUUUAAGCUGCCGCUCUUCCAACUUGGCAGGGCUGAUUAGGAAGACCCAGUUCCUGACCACCGAUGCUUUGCUACGCUAGGCUGGAAAAUGCCUCCCUCUGCCCUUGAGAAGGGGGUCUGAAUGUUUUGCGGGACUGACACCGCAGCAACAUGCCGGUGUGUUUCACGCUGCUGCCUCCUGUUUCCCUUGAAGCUUUCACCAGACCCUGGAUUUCUUUUUCACUUCCUGUUCUGAGCCAUCGCCGGGCACUCAUUACCCACCAGCUGUGUCCCAGCUGCCGCAUUCUACACUAGAGGUGGCGCCCUGCACCCGGCGGAAAUGAAGAGAAUCAGACUACCCACCUUGGAUUCUGAUAUGAAAGAUUUAGGAUAAAAGAGCUACUCCAUCAGCCUGGAAAGAUGACUCACUGGCAAACUCUUAGAUAAAGCUAAACUUCACACCAAACUGCAAGAGAGUCUAAGAAUGAAGAGAAAACUGCUUUGGCAAGCAACUACCUAGUCUCUGACACAGUCCACCUUUUUGGUCAGCCAAUAUCCAGCUCCGCCUUGUCUUCUUACACAAAGCCCAGGCAAAGCCCAGGAUUGCUAACUGUUGUACAAACCUGUUGGUCAGGCCUAGAUGGAAGCUUUCAACCCCAUUUCAAGUCAGCUGGCUUAUCCAACCCUGAAAGGUCUGUGAUCUCUCAGUUCUUUUUAUAAACAGGCCUCUGCUUGCAAAUGGCCAAUUCUUGCCUGAGCUCAUCUCUUUCUUGUAAUACUUUAUGAAAGGCAGCCAGUAGUAACUAAUGCAUAAAUUUUUCCAACCAACUGGCCCAAAGGUCAGUAGACCUUUUUACCAAAUGUUUCGCAAUGUAUAGCAUGAAUCUCCAUCUUUCUCCUCUCUGUUAUCAGGUUCCUCAGUGCCCAACCAUUAUGUCAAUGCCUUUUACCUUAAUUUUUUUCUUAUGGCAACAUUUUCUUCUGGAAUUAUUUCUGUACUGUAGCAAAUGCCCUAAACUGUGUAAAACAGUUUGAAGACACUAUUUUUUUUUCUAUUUUUAUCAUUUGUUCCUCGGUCUACUCAAUACGCUCCCUGCUUAAAACUCCCCUAGUGAUUUUCUGUUGGGUUUAAAAUAGAGUCUAAACUCUUUACCAUGGAUUACAAGCUUCUCUGUUAACUGGUUGUAACCUGCAUUUCCAGCCUCCUUUGGCGCCACUCUUGUCCCACCAACUAUAUCACAUUUCCUUUGGAACAUUUUCUGCUUCUUGAACUUGCCCAGGUCCUUGCUGUUAGCUGGUCCCUUUGCCUAUGAUGAUCUUCCUUCUUAGCAUCACUUGAACUGCAAAAAAUAAAAAAUGAAACAAAAAACAAA
rnacentral:lncRNA from 1 species